rnacentral:rRNA from 1 species
CCUACGGGAGGCAGCAGUGGGGAAUAUUGCACAAUGGGCGCAAGCCUGAUGCAGCGACGCCGCGUGCGGGAUGGAGGCCUUCGGGUUGUAAACCGCUUUUGUUCAAGGGCAAGGCCCGGUCUUCGGCCGUGUUGAGUGGAUUGUUCGAAUAAGCACCGGCCAACUACGUGCCAGCAGCCGCGGUAAUACGUAGGGUGCAAGCGUUUUCCGGGUUUAUUGGGCGUAAAGGGCUCGUAAGCGGUUCGUCGCGUCCGGUGGGAAAGUCCAUCGCUUAAGGGGGGAUCCGGGCCGGGUACGGGCGGGGUUGGGUGCGGUAUGGGGAGACUGGAAUUCCCGGUGUAACGGUGGAAUGUGUAGAUAUCGGGAAGAACACCGAUGGCGAAGGCAGGUCUCUGGGCCGUUACUGACGCUGAGGAGCGAAAGCGUGGGGAGCGAACAGGAUUAGAUACCCUAGUAGUC